UAGGAGCCCGUGGGAGGCCUUCACCGGCCUGGGGAGGGGUGCCGAGGGCGGCAGGCUUCCCGGGAGAUGACUUGACCGCACCCCGAAGGAUGAAGAAACUGAGACUCAGAGAGGGAGGUGACUUGUGGAAAGCCACGCAGCUGGGAAGAGCAGUCUGGUUCCAGGGCGUCUGGGUCUCUAAGGUCACUUGAGUACCCCAGCCCCGUACCAGGGAUAGAGAGACCCCAAACCUCGGCUCUGCUCUGAGCACAGAGAGGUGCAAUGCCAGGAGCAAUAGCAGCCAUCUUGCAAACAAGAGGAAAAAGCCAAGAGAAUUGCAGAGACACCAGCCCUGACAUCAUUUGCCUGGAAAAACAAUGCCAGCCAUAGCUGAUCUCCAAGCUCACCGUGAUAGGGGAAAAUAAACUCUUUGUCAAGC